rnacentral:rRNA from 1 species
CAACGUGGGCAACCUGCCCUGAAGCGGGGGACAACAACUCGAAAGAGUUGCUAAUACCGCAUGUGGAUCGCUCUGGCAUCAGAGAUUAUCCAAAGCCUUCGGGCACUUCAGGAUGGGCCCGCGGCCUAUCAGCUAGUUGGAGGGGUAACGGCCCACCAAGGCUUCGACGGGUAGCUGGUCUGAGAGGACGAUCAGCCGGAUUGGGACUGAGAUACGGCCCAG